UACGGAGGGUGCGAGCGUUGUCCGGAAUCAUUGGGCGUAAAGGGCGCGUAGGUGGCCCGGUCAGUUCGUGGUGAAAGCGCGGGGCUCAACCCUGCGUCGGCCAUGAAUACUGCCGCGGCUGGAGCACUGUAGAGGCAGGCGGAAUUCCGGGUGUAGCGGUGGAAUGCGUAGAGAUUCGGAAGAACACCGGUGGCGAAGGCGGCCUGCUGGGCAGUUGCUGACACUGAGGCGCGACAGCGUGGGGAGCAAACAGG
rnacentral:rRNA from 1 species